GACGAACGCCGGCGGCGUGCUUAACACAUGCAAGUCGAACGGAAAGGCCCUGCUUUUGUGGGGUGCUCGAGUGGCGAACGGGUGAGUAACACGUGAGUAACCUGCCCUUGACUUUGGGAUAACUUCAGGAAACUGGGGCUAAUACCGGAUAGGAGCUCCUGCUGCAUGGUGGGGGUUGGAAAGUUUCGGCGGUUGGGGAUGGACUCGCGGCUUAUCAGCUUGUUGGUGGGGUAGUGGCUUACCAAGGCUUUGACGGGUAGCCGGCCUGAGAGGGUGAACGGCCACAUUGGGACUGAGAUACGGCCCAGACUCCUACGGGAGGCAGCAGUGGGGAAUAUUGCACAAUGGGCGGAAGCCUGAUGCAGCAACGCCGCGUGCGGGAUGACGGCCUUCGGGUUGUAAACCGCUUUCGCCUGUGACGAAGCGUGAGUGACGGUAAUGGGUAAAGAAGCACCGGCUAACUACGUG
rnacentral:rRNA from 1 species